AGAGACAGGGAGGGGCCUAGGGUGGGGUGAGAGAGAGAAAAGAGACCAGACAUUGUACCGCUCAGGGCCCCAGCUUCCACCGAAUAUCGGGACCCCAGCCCUGGAAACCGGCCCUGAAUCUGAAUCGCACCGUCCUGCGAUGAUUCAUCUCCUCUCUGAGCCCGUGGUCCCACCCCUCUCGUCUAGACCUCCAGAGCUGGCCACCCCCGCUCUCGGCCGCGUUCUCCUUCCCCACUCGUCCGGGUUUCAGUGCAUUCAGCUGACCGGGUUAGGGGGCUGGAGGACAGGACAUCCCAAACCUCCCCUUGGCGAACCAAGCCCCUCCGUGAGUCCUGUCAGCUCCUCCCGGCCUCCUCACCCCCAGCAAGUCACCACUCCCAAGUUUAAAGCGAAGCCAACUGAGGAGCCCGGGACGGGGACAGGGCCGCUUCUGUCACGCCUUCCCCUGCUCUCCUUCUGGACGGGGGAGGGACGAGGUGACUUGGAAGAACAAUAGCGCCGGAGCCCCUUCUUCCAGCCUCGGGGAGAGCAGCAAGAGAAAGAAAGAGAGAGAGAGGCAAAUGAAAUUCCUGACUGGAUAGACAGAUGCUACGUCACGAGCUGCAUCCUCCACUCCACAAGAGGCCCGGAGCUGGGGGAGACGGGCAGUCCGGCCGCAGCAGGGCCCGCUGCUGCGCCUCUCCGCAGGAGCCUGGCAGCUGGGAAGGAGCAGCCUCAUCUGUUCCUCGUAUCCUCAGCGUCGUCGACGUCGGUGGCUACCUUUGGCUGUGGGCGAGCCGAGCCCUGUGUAGUUGGUGACAAUGGAACAGAACAUGGUAGCUUGGGAAGGGAAGGCUACCCUGGUCAAUCCUGUUACAGAAAGGAACGGCGGGGGGGUCUGGGGACUCUCCUCUCCCCGCAGACUCCUGAGGGCAGGGGGAGGCCAGUGGAGCUGGGGGAGGUGGUUGGCUGUGUGGGUGACAGGUGAGCAAAGACAGCCAUGAUGUUAGAGAUGAAUGGGCCCAAAGUCCCUGUGAGCAGGAGUGUGUGCCGGCACCCGGCCAGCCGCGCGUACCUGUGUCAGGAGGGCGGGGCCACUGCCGAGUACACGCGGGCUCGCCCUGCCUUUGUCGGAUUGAGUUUGGGUGUGUGUGCAUAUGCACACGCAUGGCACCCUUGCACACUCAUGCUUGUGCCCCUUAUGGAGGCCUUUUGAUGCGGGUAAGGGGUCUUGCAGAGAGGACCAGUCUGCAGGCACCAGCUUACCCUCUCCACCUCCACACCCUGUUCUCACUGCCCGGUGUGGUGGGGGCGCGGUGACAUGGGAGCAGGCAGGGAGGUGGUGUGGACAGCCAGGGCCCUCCACCCAAGGAUAAAGGCUCUGAGGGAAAGAAUGGUGGGCCCUGGACAGAACCCCUCCUCAGUUUCCCGUGCUCUCUAGCCUCAUCUGCAUGCAGAUAUACAUAUAAAUAUAUAUAUAUCUACAUUCACACAGCCUCACUGUAUUUUUUACUGCCACUUCCCACUUUUAUUUGUCCCAGUCCCAUAGACAAUGCAAAUAUUCUACAGCAAAAGAAUAAUGUAUGGUAAUGUUCAUGAUAAUGAUGCAUUCAUAAGACAGAAAUAAAUAUCUGCACCUAGCUGCUCUCAGAAGCAGCUUUCAUCUGUGUCUUUAAGGCAAAUUAAUCUGGUAAUUGAAGCAAAGAGAAAAUAUGCUUUUUAUUGAAUUACUUGAAUAUUUCAAGAGCGUGGUUUAAUGCCAAAAUGUGUUUUGGGACCCAGAUUAUAAAGAUCUGCCCCAAGCUCUGUCCGGGGUGCAUGAUUCUGGCCACAUUUUCUGCUCUAUGUCUCCGGGGUCCCCUUCGGGCAGAGACAGUAGGGUGGGCAGCUCAGGGUGCGGGGGGGGGCACAGGGAUUGGGGCACUCUCCCCAGAGCCCCCCAGAACUUCCCUGGAAGAGCUAGGGGUGAGGUCCAUGGGCCACCACUCUGAGGGAUCCCUGGCGAGCUAUGCCACGUGCUGCGGCCAAGGCCUUCCCAGAAAAACCGAGGCUGGCCUGGCGGCUGAUCCCGCAGCAGGGCGCCCACUUCGCUCAGGCUCUUGUCCUCCUUUGGGACUGCCCUGCUGCUUAGUGGUCUUCCCUACUCGGAGGAAGUGCGGGGCGGCCAUAACACAGCACCCACGGACACGAUGCCCCAGCCCCUCCCACCCUAUCUGCAAGUCCCACCGAAGGCACAGCUGCUCAACACCCGCUCCCCACCACAAAGCCCACAAUCACAGCACACAGGCCUGCAAGACUGUCACUUCCUGCCCCCACCGUGUCUGUCUCCGCAUUUUCUGCCCAGUUUGUCAUCCUUGUUUCCUCUGGGACAAAGAAUACGUCAGAAAUUGUCCCUGACCUCAAGAGCUGUCUCAGUUACCACCCUCCAGGUAGUUUCUUGUCUGAAAAGGGGAAAAACGUGGCUUGGCACGCCAACCAGUUCCAACCCCCUGAAGUGCCCAGUUCUCCGGGGCUUUUCUGGCUUCUGUCCCUGUCUCCGGACAGGCCAGAGCAGUGGGAACUGAGUUGCCCAGCAAACCCAGUCAAAAUCACAGGGAAAUGUACUUCACAGGAAGCUGAACAGAGUGGGGUUCCACGUGGAUGGAGCCUGGAAGUGUAGGCUGCCCGCUUCCCUGCGUGUGUGUGAGGAGGGUGGGCUCUCCCUAACCUGGACCUUCUGUCAGACUGAUCACCUCUCAGCGCUGGGACCACAGUGAAAGGCAGAAGUGUCUCGUGCUUUAUCUAGCUGCGUGGGGGAAUUUUGAUAUAUGUAUUUUGAGAAGUCUGCUAAAUACACCCAUUUCUCUCUUGACAUUAGUUUUUAAGGAAUUCCAAUUAAGUCUGAAUCUGGUGAGGGAGUCUCCACUAGGAAAAAACCAAAACAACUUUGUGUCCUGUCCUCUUCCCUCUGGACAAUAAUACAGCAAUGGCAGAAAGCUUGGCCUUGUAGUGCUGGAGAGGGGAAGCAGAGAAGAAGGGCUGAUCACUGCUUUAAGGAGGGCGGAAGGGAGAUACUUGUGGGGAAAGUUGCUGGUGUGUCUGGAGAGGUGCAGGCCCAAUUUGGAAUGCUGGAAGGUGGCUACUACUCAGUUUGCUGAAAAAUCUUUGAGGAGGCUGUCUGCCUGCUUGGAGAGAAAAGGCUGGAGUGCCCAUGUUUCUCUGGUAUACAAGGUGCAUUUGGAGAAUGCAUUGGCAGCAUGCUGGCUGGCAGGUCUGUCUGUGAGUGUCUAGGGAGGCUUCUCUUUUUUUUGGCACCUGUCCUGGAGGAACAGGGUCCUCCUAUGUAUUCUGAACUGCAAGGGCACCUGGGAGGGGACACUCUAUCCCUACCUGUCUCCUCUCCUCUCCGCUGGCCUGUGUGCCCCUGUUCUAGGGUGUCUGUGAAGUGUUGGCACUGCCAAAGCCUUCCCCUUGGGUAAGGGCCUGGAGACCCUGUGGAGCCCGAGAACACCCUGAGCUGGGGCACCCUGUGCCCUUUCUAGCAGGGAGCCUCAAGGGCCCUGGGCUUUCUCCCCACUCAGACUGAGCCCACCAUCCCCAGGAGCAGUGGUUAUUCGGUGUUCCGUCCUUGAGGGGCACACCUGGUUAAGCCACUGCCUUUUCGCUUGGCUCUGAUCAGGGUGGGCAGCAUUCCAGCUUGGCUUUGUCCUGGGGUGGGCACACACACAGACAAAACCACCUGAGCAGGCCUGAGGAUCCACAGUGGUCGCCUGGAGUGCACCCACUCUCAGAACCACCUAACUUCAAAGACCCAAGGUCACAGAAACGACCUGCAUUAACCCCGCCCACAGGCUCCUGACGUAGGAGCCUUAGUCUCUUAGGGGAGAGGAAGGAUGGGGUGUCUGCGCCCUGGCGGGGCAGCAGCUCCGAGGAGCCCAGGGAUUGCGCUCUAGAUCCUCCUCCAGCAGCCUGAAUCUGCAAUCUGCUGCUAGCUGCCAUGUGCCACCCAAGGCUGAGACAGUACUCGAUUUAGACUUCACUGGCCUGCAGAGGUGAACCAGGAAUGCUCUGCUGAGCCAGGUGGGAGGCAGGACUGGGGAGUCGGACCGAGGGAGCCUUGAGGAGGAGUCCCAGACUGCCAGAAUCUGCCCCACUGUUUUGAGCUGAAAACUAGAGGUUCCUCUUCAUUCCAAAGUUUCUGACCUGAACUGGGGCGGGUGGGUGCCCCACCACCCUCCCGCCCUCUCUCCUUGCUGUGGAUGACAGAGCCACGUCCAGCACCACGGACAGCUCCCGCGGAAAUUCUACAGCCUUACUUAUUGUCUUGGGAAGUCCUUCCCAGUGUCUGACCAAGGCCUGCACUGCUGUAGCACCAGUUCUUUGACCUGUGCUUGACAGGCUGAGUGGAGAGAAGUCAGUGCCCCGGAGUGUUCUGAGUAGGAGAGGCUCCCCUUCCCGUCAGCAACCCCAAGAGGAACAGGAGGAAUAGUCCUCCAGGAUUUCUGGCGGGGCCCCUUUGGAAGCCAGCCUUUCCCACUCCACCGCUCGCGCUAGUGAGUGAGUUCCGGCAGAGUCCCUGGGAGACCCUGGAACCCGACAGAAGGCGGAGAAUGGUUACCUUGACCUCGAGGGGCGUCUAGAGGAGCCAGCUUUGUCCAGGGGACCCUGAAUGAGCAGCAGGAGAAGUCAAAGCCUCAAGGGAGACGUGUCAACGGAGAGGGACCGUGGCUCUCCCAGAGUAACCGGAGCAGUAAAUGAGGCCGAGCUACAGAUGGGUCUUCGUGGACCCCAGGGUGUGGGCGCCCUCCCUCCCCAGCUGACUUCCUGUGGAUGCGGAAGAGAGGACAGACGGCCUCCGCUGUGUCUGUGGUCCCUGCAGGAGGAGGCCUGCACUGAGGCAGAGGCCGUAGGAGCUGGGAGUCGCCCCAGCCCACUCAGGACCAAAGGUAGAGGCAGCUACUUCGUUCAGCUGGCCUGGGUUCCUCCAAGAAGCCUUCCUGGACUGGCUAAAACAUGAGGUUCAGCCCCAGCAGGCUGAAGUUGAUGCAAGCCGAGCGGGAGUAGGGAGGGCCCAGCCCCAGCCUGGACAGCCCGAGCCCCCCGGACAUCGGGAAUCAAACCUUGCUUGACCUGUUGCUCCUGCGUCCAGCAGCUGCCCAUCUUGGCCCAUCAGCCUACCCUGUCAUCUCACCUGCGACACCCAUGUCCUCAGAGAGCGAAUCCGGUCUCAUGUUCUAAUAAAAUCUCUUGACCAUCCCGUGACGGCAGUGGGCAAGCCUCCAGGAUGCCAGGACACCUAGGGGGGCUCCUCCCACCCUCUGGGCUUCUGCAAACCCCGCCGGUGACCUGAUCCCUCCCAGCUCAGCCAUGGAUGGAUGCUCCCACCUGAGGAAGCACCUGGGACCAAGCCCAAGACCGAGAGAACCGGAGAGGGUGUGCUCCCCGAGGCACGUAGGGGAGACGGGGCCCCGUGUCCUCCACGAGAUGCCCCUCAGACUCUGGGUCUGCACCGUGCACAGAGCAGCAGCACCAGGUCCCUCAGGCGCCCACCUGCCUCCUCUCCAUCUGUGCCCAGUGGAAGUAGGAGGGGAGGAUGUGACAGCAGAGAGGACUAAGACCUCGGAGUGAACACGGGGUCGGAGGGCAGAGGCCACAGCAAGAAAUCAGAACUGAACUGGCACAGUGCUGCAUACCUGCAAUCCCAGAUCCCUGGGAGUCCGAGGCAAGACAUUGAAAACUUGAGGCCAGCCUGGGCAACCUAAUGAGAUCUUGUCUCAAAGGCUUUAUUUUUGUUCACUUAGUUUUGUCGUUGUUGUUUGAGACAGGGUCUCUAGGCAGUGCGAGUUAGUCUUGAGCUCCCUCUGUAGCUCAGGCUAGCCUCUUGUGACAAUCCUCCUGCCUCGGCCUCCCAAGCAUUUAGAUUA